ACGGUGAAGCAGGAGCUUGCUCUUGUGGAUCAGUGGCGAACGGGUGAGUAACACGUGAGCAACCUGCCCCUGACUCUGGGAUAAGCGCUGGAAACGGCGUCUAAUACUGGAUAUGUGACGUGACCGCAUGGUCUGCGUUUGGAAAGAUUUUUCGGUUGGGGAUGGGCUCGCGGCCUAUCAGCUUGUUGGUGAGGUAAUGGCUCACCAAGGCGUCGACGGGUAGCCGGCCUGAGAGGGUGACCGGCCACACUGGGACUGAGACACGGCCCAGACUCCUACGGGAGGCAGCAGUGGGGAAUAUUGCACAAUGGGCGAAAGCCUGAUGCAGCAACGCCGCGUGAGGGAUGACGGCCUUCGGGUUGUAAACCUCUUUUAGCAGGGAAGAAGCGAAAGUGACGGUACCUGCAGAAAAAGCGCCGGCUAACUACGUGCCAGCAGCCGCGGUAAUACGUAGGGCGCAAGCGUUAUCCGGAAUUAUUGGGCGUAAAGAGCUCGUAGGCGGUUUGUCGCGUCUGCUGUGAAAUCCCGAGGCUCAACCUCGGGCCUGCAGUGGGUACGGGCAGACUAGAGUGCGGUAGGGGAGAUUGGAAUUCCUGGUGUAGCGGUGGAAUGCGCAGAUAUCAGGAGGAACACCGAUGGCGAAGGCAGAUCUCUGGGCCGUAACUGACGCUGAGGAGCGAAAGGGUGGGGAGCAAACAGGCUUAGAUACCCUGGUAGUCCACCCCGUAAACGUUGGGAACUAGUUGUGGGGUCCAUUCCACGGAUUCCGUGACGCAGCUAACGCAUUAAGUUCCCCGCCUGGGGAGUACGGCCGCAAGGCUAAAACUCAAAGGAAUUGACGGGGACCCGCACAAGCGGCGGAGCAUGCGGAUUAAUUCGAUGCAACGCGAAGAACCUUACCAAGGCUUGACAUAUACGAGAACGGGCCAGAAAUGGUCAACUCUUUGGACACUCGUAAACAGGUGGUGCAUGGUUGUCGUCA
rnacentral:rRNA from 1 species